rnacentral:rRNA from 1 species
GCGUAAGGACUGCGGAGGACAUUG